rnacentral:rRNA from 1 species
UACGUAGGGGGCUAGCGUUGUCCGGAAUCAUUGGGCGUAAAGAGCGCGUAGGCGGCCAGAUAAGUCCGGUGUGAAAGUCACAGGCUCAACCUGUGAAUGCCGCUGGAAACUGUCUGGCUAGAGUCCGGAAGGGGCGAGUGGAAUUCCCGGUGUAGUGGUGAAAUGCGUAGAUAUCGGGAGGAACACCAGUGGCGAAGGCGACUACCUGGCCUGUUCUUGACGCUGAGGCGCGAAAGCUAGGGGAGCAAACGGG